rnacentral:snRNA from 1 species
GUGCUUGCUUCAGUAGCACAUAUGCUAAAAUUGGAAUGAUACAGAGAAAAUUAGCAUGGUCCCCGAGAAAAGGAUGACAUGUAAAUUUGUGAAGCAUUACAUAUUUUA